AUCUUGAGAUGAAGCUAUCUUCCCAUGAAAGGAAGAUGGCUAAGUUCGGGAGGUCUGCUCUAGAGAUUGAAGGCCUUGUGGCUGCCAACGGACUAAGUCAUUUGAUUGCAUGUUCCCUAGAUAUGGAUGAUCGAGGACUAAUGUCUGCUUUUAUGGAAUGCUGGCAUAAGGAAACUAAUAGUUUCCAUUUGCCCAUCGGAGAGGUGACUAUCACCUUGGAUGACGUGGCAUCGUUGCUACAUUUGCCUAUCAUAAAGGCAUUCCAUAGCUUCAAACAACUUCAUGUCAACGACCCUGUCGAUAUGUUGGUGGAAUUACUCGAGGUCAACACUACAGAGGCAAGAGCUGAGACGAUUCAAUGUCAUGUCUCUUUGUUUGACUAUCGUGGCUGCGAGACGUGUAUCAGACAAAAAUUGAGGCAUAUCACCGGACUGUAGCAGCGCGAGCAUAUUUGUUGCAUCUGCUUGGAUGCACACUUUUUGCUAACAAGAGUGCAACACAUAUUCACGUGGUAUUCUUGGAUGCACUGCGUGACUUGACGCAGAGUGGGACUUAUGCUUGGGGGCGCUGUUCCACUUGUGCAUAUGUAUGAUAAUUUAAAUGAGGCAUCAAAGAGCACAACGAGGCAGCUUGUAGGAUAUAUCACUCUAUUACAGUGUUGGAAAUACAAGCAUUUCCCGUCUGUUGAUUCUGCCCUAGCUACCGAGGAUUAUGACGAGAGGAGAUCGCAUGCAUACCGAUGGACCUCUGGCAAGGCACUACCCGUGCCAAUGUAUCGUAGGCAUUUAGACAGACUGACCCCUGAUGUUGUGUGUUAGAUUCCAUAUGGUGACCACCGUUCAUUUAUAGAAUUUGAGGUCAUUUCCUUGUUUUUCGGCCAUCUCAAAUUUGGUCCUUUGGCGAUCAUUCACCGACCAGAGAUGAUUGUACAAUAGUUUGGGUACAUCCAGACUAUUCCGCCACAUCCUACUGCGUCUUUGACUUCUGUUGAAGAAAUAAAUGCUAGAUGGAUGCAGUUCAGUGACUACAUUGCACCUAUAGGGAAAAUUUGUGUAGUGCCUGACCAGCAUUAGUCAGAUUACAUGGAGUGGUUCUACAUGAUUUCACAUCCGUUUAUGACUCCAGCACAGCCAGGGGAUCCUCCUAAAGUUUUGUCAGUUUAGUAAUAUGACACAUUUGUUGAACUAGAUGUGCCUCAGCAACUAGUGGCGACAGCGACACCUAAUGAAGUAGACGUUGAUGUGCAUCGUCCUCGACAUGCGGUGGAUGGUUAUGUGGCAAUUGCUCAUAAAUUGGAGAGGCUACUGAACCUGAGGAUCUUGAUCGAAGGAACAAAAGCCUAUACUAUUGCUGAAGAAUGUUUGAGCAUCGCAUGAAGCUACAUUGGCCAACCAAUUGUAGGUCACAGAUCAAGGUGUAGGCGACAUACGGACAAUCAUUGAAGUUUUUUUUGGCCGUAUAUAUGUUAAUUUUAAUUUUUUGGAUAAUUUAUUUAUUUGGUACAUUUAUUUAUUGACAUUGAAAUUUGGUUAAUUUAUAAUUUUGGUGUGUUA